rnacentral:rRNA from 1 species
UGAGUAACCUGCCCUUAACUCUGGGAUAAGCCUGGGAAACUGGGUCUAAUACCGGAUAUGACUCCUCAUCGCAUGGUGGGGGGUGGAAAGCUUUAUUGUGGUUUUGGAUGGACUCGCGGCCUAUCAGCUAGUUGGUGAGGUAACGGCUCACCAAGGCGACGACGGGUAGCUGGUCUUAGAGGAUGGCCAGCCACAUUGGGACUGAGACACGGCCCAGACUCCUACGGGAGGCAG